CAAACAUCGCGCGCCGACGGUGUCCUGUCUUCGGACAGGACGAAGAGGGAAUAUCGGAAGAUCGCUGCCUGCAGCGGUCGCGCCGAAGCUGCCCCCGCAACUGUAAACGGUGAGCCGACGCAAUACGCCACUGGAUCAUAUCCGGGAAGGCCGCGUCGGCGACGACCCGUGAGCCAGGAGACCUGCCGUCGCCUGCUAUGUUGAC
rnacentral:ncRNA from 21 species